rnacentral:lncRNA from 1 species
UGGAGGACGAGUUGGCACAUUUGCUCUUCCUGCUGAUGUUGAACGAAGAGACGACGGGUUUUCCUCAACAAAAUUCCUAGCUAGCUACUCACAGAAGCAGCAAAUGGAGACAAUUAUCAUACAGAGGUAAUUACAACUCAAACUAACAUGUCACUGCAUAUGCUCAUCUAGAUUAAAUUUGUUUAACUGUAUCCCCUCCGUACUUUAUAUCACAAUUUUUAGGAAAAACCCAGAAUUAUCCAAAGAGAUUUAACAACUAGCCAGUCUCUUGAGCUAGAGCCACUUUCUGAAGGGAGCCAACACAAAGAUUUUCAGAGCUUUUUUGCAAUACGGUUGAAGAACAGAACUUAUAUAACUGAAAUCAGUUACAAAUGCAGUUCAAUUUGAACACAUUCAUACUGGAUUAUACUUCAUUAUCUAUGUAGAAGUGAAAUGUUGUCAAUAUUUCAGAACUCUCCGGUCUCCAUCAAAACAACAGCAACGCUGAAGCUAAAUCUCAUAAAGUAACAUACACACACAAGGAAAUGUAAAUCAAGACUGGAUAAGCAGAUCGAGG